UCAAACCGAGCCCAUUUACAUCCACUCUCCACAUGUAGUCAGUUGUCAGACCAAUUGGAACCGGUGCGGCGAAUUGGAGCCCAUGGUGAGCUGCUGCCACAAAACAGAGUUCUCCCUAGCAUUGCGCAGUCAGCUGUGAUCGCGUAUGGAGUUGCGGCUGUUCGGCGUUCCGGUCCCAGUUGCAUUUCACCUUGGAGAGCGUCCCUGCCACGAACAGCAACAAACUUGACAUUGUCAAUCCUCCGUUUCCUGACCGGUUGUAACGCGAGUUUCCGACUGACAUCCGAUUUCCGGUGAAUUCCUCUUCCUUUUCACGUGUAUUCAUUGCCUCAGUUUCGCGCCGCUUCCGCAUUACAACCUCCGAGCCGAGGUGAUCGCUGCCAGCCCAGAAAAGUCUGAAAAUCAAUUCGCGUUUUUUCCUUUCGCCACAACCGCGGCGCCCAAGUUGCGAAAAUUAUCGAUUGGCAAUCGGCGACUGCACGACGGCUCCGCGGGCUCCAACCGACCGCAAGACGAGACGACCUGGCGACGGCGGCCGACGGACGGUGUACUCCGCUUGAUGAAUGAAUAGGCGCGCGAGCGGGACAGCCGCCGUGCGCUUACCUGCGCGGAAACGGGACGCCCGAUGCGGGCCUACUACCUUAUUGUGAUCCGUGCGUAGUGUGUGUGCAGAAGUUUUUGUUUGACAGCCGAGGCGGAAGGAAAGUGACAUUUGUGCAGUUGCCGCACGUCAAAGCGCUCCGCAGUCACUCAGUCGUCGGCUGUGUGCUGAGUAAAAAGAAAAUCAGAAAAAUCCAAAAAAAAACAAAUUUUUUUUACGGCAACCACAAAGUAAUCGGUGAACGGAAAAAAUCGGGAAAAUUGAGGAGAUAUUGGGAAGCCUUUCGCGGUGCCACGAAGAUUCCGUGAUGCAAAUUCUGAGUGCGUGAUGUGCAUUUUAUCGCUGCCGUUUUAAAAUAGACUCGUCGUCGUCGUCGCUGCGUGUCGGCGGAUCUGUGGGCUGACCUGACCCGUGUCGUUGUUUUUUCUUUUCUCCGUGAAAAGCGUGUGUGAAAAUUCUUAGCGAGUUCAAUAAAAAAUUGCAAGAAAAUUACAAGUGAAUCGCAGGCUCCAAUUGGAGACGAAUCGAGUGCAGGCGAGCUGCCAGUCAAGCGGGGAGUGUUUUACACGGACCAGGGGAAGAAAUUCAGUCCGAUCCGGACGAGAAAAGGUGUCAAGCUAUCAGCCUGGAUCAGCCUAUUCGCACCAUAAACGGUUUUGAAACUUCAGCCGUAAAAUAACAUUAUUAUAAUUAUCCUAAGAUCAAAAUAAGAAAAGGAGCAAUCUUAGCAAAACAUCGAUUAAAAAGUAUAAAAAUAGAACGGAUAUCAAGCAAACCAUACAACCAUCUAAGCAAAAAAUCAUCUUAAGAUUAAAGUGUUGCGGUUUUGCAUCCGAUACGCUUCGUUUACAUGAAAAUCCACAAGACAUUCGUCAGCACUGAAGACCGAACAAAAGGAAGUACGGCUAAUUGGAGCACUAGCAACUCAGAAUAAUCUGCAUACAACCGCCCCGUAAAAGUGGCGAACAGUACGUGGAAAAUUGCAUUUUUUCCUCUGAUUGCAAAAGGGAAAAAGUAAUUUUCUUCAAGUCACGCUGUCGUCUACAAUAUUGCAGCCGUUGUUGACGUCGUUGCCGUCAAGAUGGAUGCCUCAAUUGAGGAGAACUCAACGACGGCCAUAACAACAGCAGAUCAACUUCAGAUGAUGAAUUCAUCAUCGGUGGUGAUUGAAGAGAAUAAUGUGGUUAGCGUUAGCAGCAUUGGUUACGAGAGGAAGCUAUCGAGCGAUGGCGAUGAUAAGGAUACGUCGGUGAGGGUUGCUGUACGUAUUCGACCGCAAAUACCGCGCGAGAUAAUAGACAUGUGUCGGAUUUGUACGACAGUAACCCCAGGAGAACCACAAGUCGUUCUCGGCGGAGACAAAGCCUUCACAUUCGAUUAUGUCUUUGACAUUAACUCCACACAGACCGAUAUCUAUGCGAAAUGUGUGGAAAAAUUGGUGGAUGGAUCGUUGAAAGGUUAUAAUGCAACCGUUCUGGCAUACGGUCAAACAGGCUCCGGCAAAACAUACACAAUGGGCACAGGAUUCGAUUGUGAUGUAACUGACAUUCAGGAGGGUAUAAUUCCGCGUGCCGUACGACACAUAUUCAGCGGCAUAGAAAACCUACAGACGGACGAGAAUGGAGUUAACCGAGGGACGAUACAGUUCAGCGUGGCUGCACAAUUUAUGGAACUAUACAAUGAAGACAUUAUUGAUUUGUUGGACCCAUACAACAAGGGGCGAGUAUUCAAAAUACAUGAAGAUCCUGCUGGUGGGAUUUAUGUGUCCGGUGCUACAAUUACGCCUAUUCAUGGUCCACAGGAUGCGCUUAAAUGUCUUCAACAAGGAGCCUUAGCCCGUACCACGGCCUCAACACAAAUGAAUGCCCAAUCAUCCCGAAGUCACGCACUCUUCACAAUCCUUAUACGACGCCAACGGGCCCUAUCCCCCGAAGAGUGUGGUCUGCCCGAAGGUGAUUUAGAAACGCUCACUUCGAAAUUCCAUUUCGUUGAUUUAGCCGGCUCAGAACGUUUGAAGCGUACAGGAGCGACUGGCGAACGUGCCCGCGAGGGUAUCUCAAUUAAUUGCGGCCUUCUAGCUCUGGGCAAUGUUAUUUCGGCAUUAGGCGAUAAAUCGAAACGAGCAACUCAUGUACCUUAUCGUGAUUCGAAAUUAACACGAUUACUGCAAGAUUCAUUGGGCGGUAACAGUCAAACGCUGAUGAUUGCAUGCGUAUCACCGAGUGAUCGUGAUUUUAUGGAAACACUGAAUACAUUGAAGUAUGCCAAUCGUGCACGUAAUAUUAAGAAUAAGGUACUAUUGAACCAAGAUCAAAGCUCGAGAACGAUAAUGCAACUGAGACGUGAGAUUGCGGCAUUACAAAUUGAAUUGUUAGAAUAUAAGCAGGGUAAACGUAGUAUCGACGAAGAAGGCAAUGCAUCCAUUUCUGAUACAUUCCAAGAGAACGCUAUGCUUCUGGCGGACAACAAAAGACUGCAACAACGACUUAAAGCCAUGCAAGAGACAAUUAACACCCUCACUGAUAAGAAUUCUGAAUUGAUGCUGCAGAAAGCAACAAUGGGCUGGCAAGCUACGGAUUCGGAGAAAUCAGUUGCUGAUAUGAUUGGCGCAUAUAUUACGGAAAUUGAAAAACUUCAAGCUAAACUAUUGGAGUCAGAACAAAUGUAUCAGCAACUGAAGAAGUCGAUGACGAGUCCGAGAAAUAAUUUCAAGAUGAAUAAUACAUUCGAGACCCCCGAAACAAUCCUUAAUAUGGCUAAGCAUGAGCUUGAGAAGGAACGAGAACUUCUCAUGUCGCGAUCGCUUCCUGGCUUUAACGAAGACAGCAGCAAUUCCAAUGUAGAAAAUAAUGACUCCGACAGUGAUAGUGAUACAGAGUCAGAUGACAAAACUGGUCAAAUGCAAGCCGAACUAAAUGACAUCAGUUCCGAUAUCGAACUUAAAACGAAACUUAUCGAACAAUUGGAAUUGUCACAACAAAGAAUGCAAGUUAUGCGUCAACAUUAUGAGGAGAAAUUGCAUAUUCUCAAUACGAAAAUCAUGAAUACGCAAAAGGAGCGCGAUCAAGUAUUAUCCAAUAUGGGAUCUGCUCCGCAAACAUCACAAUCAAACGAGAAGAUCAAAAAAGUUCGAGAGGAAUAUGAGCGCAAGAUUAACGAUAUGCAGCGUGAAUUGCGAAAAUUACAAUCAGCGCAAAAGGAACAUGUUCGCUUGCAACGCCAACUUCAGUCACAUGAAUCACAGCUCAAAACUUUACGAAAUGAAUUGUCUGAUCUCAAAGCGAUGAAGACUCGUCUCAUGCGUAAAAUGCAAGAAGAAAGUAAUCGUCACAAAGAGGAAGAGAGUCGUAAAGUUCGGGAAAUCGCUCAACUACGCAAGGAGUCCCGAAAACAGCUCAACACGAUCAAAUCUCUUCAAGCUCAAGGAGCAGCUAAAGACCAGGUUCUAAAGCGUCGUACCGAAGAAGUAACCGCCUUGCGGAAGAGUCAACGCGGUAUGCUUAGUCUGAAAGCGCAGGGUCGCGUUCAACCAAAGAAAACUCAAAUAUUCAGUCCUCGUCAAGCCCGUCUCAAAUGGGAAAAUCUCCAACGCACCAUUAGUCGAACAGUGGAAAGCAAAAAGACAAUUGUCCAACUUGAAAGUGAACUUGAAAGACUGAUACACGAUCGCGAAGCGCUUAGCCGAGAUCUAGCCAAUGUUCGUAAUAAAUUGCGACAGAACGAAACGCCUGAACUGAUCAGCGAAGAGGAUACGCUUAAAGCGAAUUUGAAUUAUGUUCAAGAAGUUAUGACACAAAUUCAACACUCCAUUAUCGAUAUCGAGGAGGGCAAGGAGUCAACCAGUUCCAAUCAGUUACAAUCACUUAUCGAUAAUGUACAGAGUGUCGAAGAGGCGAAAUAUCUUCUUGAGAAAUUGGCCAACAUUACAGUGGCUCAGACGUGUGAUAAUACAUUGGCGCAAACAAAACUGUCCGAGAAUGAAGCACGCAUCAAGGAAUUCCGUGACGAAAGUGACAUUCUGCAACAACUAAUGCAACACAUUCUAGCACAAAAUCCUGCCUUGACAUUCUCCGAUCUAUCACAGAAUUUCGAAUAUACAAAACAACGUUGUUCGGAAUCGUGGAGUACGAUCGAUAGCAAUAGUACAUAUGACAUUCCGUCCGAUAUGCCUAGUAUUCUGUCUGAUUCGCAACGUGGUCGAGAAAUGACUUCAAAUCACGUAGAAAUGCGUAAUCAUCAGAAUAGAUCGAGCAGAAGCCCAUCACCGGCCCCAACUAUAGACUUAGAUCAUACGUCCAAAGUUCGUAGGCGAACUGCACAACCACAAGAUCUUUUAUUUGGCGAUGCUGAUAAUCAAGUGGACAAGAAUGAUAUAAUGACACGAUCAUUCACUCAACAAGAAGGUGCUGGUCGCAGUUUUAUUCCAUUAGCAAGAGUUCCAAGUGCACCAGGAUCUUUGAAGCAAGCCUUAAACAACACUGCAUCUCCAUCUCUAGGUCGUAAGCCUAUCGAUACGACUGGGGCGAAUGCUGUUCCCGUAUCACCUAGAGUUAAUCGACGACCUUUCCCUAAUAAGGGUUCGCCCGGAUUGUUUUUGGCACGUGCAAUUUUAUGGACAUUUCUUUUUAUCUGGAUAUUACGAGCGUUGGGUUUAAUAAGCAUGUGCCCUCGUUGCGAUUGCCAAUGUGUCUGCUCUUGUCAGAAUACCUGGCAUACGGCUACGAUGUAGGAAGGGAAAACUUAUUACAGUCACUAUUUUGUAGUUGAGUAAGGUUGUAAGGUGGAUUUGUAAGGUUUAGUGAUGGAAUCUUGCCAUUUUGUCUCGAUGAUCUCUUUAUCAUACAUCAUUUCUUGAGUUCUAUGAAAUGCAUUUGAUCCCUACCGGAAAAGUACGAAUCUGGCGAUUUAAAUCAGCUCUCAAGCGACAAUACUCACUCGAGGAUAGCUGAUAUUCAAGAUCACGUGAUGGUCACCAGGAAGACUACACACCCCCGUUUCGACGCAGUCAUUCGACCGGAUCUAGUUCACCAAUCAAACGAAAUAUUAACAUUAAAUCUUUUUUAACAUCAACACACUCAUCACCUCUAUCAUCAAAAUCAUCAUCGUCAUUCCUAUCACCACCAUCACUAUCAUCGCCAGUUACAACACCGACAAGAACACGAACAACAUCACUAUUAGCUUUAAGAAAUACCGACUCGGGAUCCUCGACGAGUUUUGGGAAUCACCGAGUUUCCACACUGCAUCGAUAUCAAGUGGCUGGUCCUGCGUCAUCGACUCUGGGUCUUGCUUCGUCGUCGUCCUUGUCAUCAACGUCGGGAAGUCAACGAUAUUUUAGUUCAAAUUUAAGAUUGAAUAGGGACCUGCAGAGACGUCUCGAAUCGGCAACAACCACGGCAUCGACAUUAACGUCCUUGUCCUUGUCGACGUCAAUGUCGUCCAAGAAUCGAAUCCCCAAUCGAACGUCUCUUCUGAAUAGGACACGAUUGAAUGCAUUCUCAAGCGGUCUAAUGACUUUCAGUAAGAAAUUAUGAUUUGAAUUUUAUUUUAUUCUGUGGUCGUUUGUUGUCUUUUUUUAUUCGACAAUGUUGAAUUAAUCCUUUAUUUAUUUUACAUUGAGUAUGUACGUGUGUUUACAUGGAGGAGUUAUUUUAAAGGCGCUCGGGGAUGAUCUGGUUGGCGUUUGCGUCAGGACUUCGUGUUUUUUUUAAACAAGACGAGGAGGAGCUAACGUUUUACAUCACAGAAUCCUUCCAGUAACUCAAUUAUUAAACUUUUACAAACGCGCCUUUUUUUAAAAACGAUACAACUGUACAGCCUUUUCUAUAUUUUAUAUUUUUUCGCAUCUGAAUCAUACACAGAAAAACGGAGGCUUUUGAUUAUACAAAUAGAACUACGCAUACGAUAAACUACGAACACUAGGCAAUAGAAAAGAUGUUUUAAUAUAUACAUUUAAUUACGGAUACCAAUAAAUUGUAUCCAUAUUCGAUAUAUUUUUCUACAACACAAACUACAGGUGUAAGUCCUUGUUUGAAUAGGCGUGUAAGGUAGCGAUUUAAAGCAUCAACUGAAAAUCAAAUGUGGAUUACAGGCGAAGUAGGAAUCUAUGGAACAUAUUCAGAUAACAAUAAUAAAUUUAAGUCACGACUAAAUACACAAAUUGUUUGUAAGAAGUUGUAGUAGUGGCCCGCAAUGCAAAUCGAAAGGACGACUUGGCGAGGGAUGAAAAAAUGGCAACUAUUUCCUUCUUGUUUGUGGUUUUAUGAGAUAAUCUAAGAUUUAUCGUAACAAAUAUUUAUAUAUUUUCUUAAGGCUCUAUAUAAGGCGGAAGAGCGUUAUUAAAUCGACAAAUAUAUUCCUCUAGACUUACAAGAAAUGCUGAACUAAUUUGGUUUAUCUAAACGGAAACAAUUCACGCGCUAGGCAUCUAACUAGAACUUAUGUAACAAUUGGUGAUUUAUAUAUUCUUUAUACUCUCAAAACUACUUUAAACUGAAAUCUAUAUAACUUCUGCAGCUAAGUAAGACAAACCAUUCUAAUUAUUAUCUAAACGCCUUUAGGUUGUAAUAUCUUCAAUGGAUUCAUCGAAUUGAAAGGAAAUCAUUCAAUGAAUCCAGAACUAAUAAAAGACAAUGCUGUGGAAAUUAAUGUGGAUCUACUGUAAACAUGUAGAGCUAAAAAUUAUUAAUUUAGUGAUGGAACAAUAAUGAGGGAAAAUUGUGUUGUAAUUUCAAGAGAAAAAGUGACUAAUACGAAAGUAUGUAUGAAAGGAAAUAUUUUAUUGUGUAAACACGCUUUAUUUUCAAUAAAUUAGAUUGUUAGGUAAGAGAGCGACGAAACGGAUGAACAAAUUACUAAUAGUUGCGUACAAUAUUUGAUGUGUAUAUGUUGAUUAUAAAAUGCAAAUGGAAAAGAUAAAGAUAUGAUGAAUAAAGAAGAUAUUUGAAGAGUUAUAUGAUCAAA
rnacentral:misc_RNA from 1 species